ensembl:lncRNA
GGAAAGACCAGGGAGAUGCUGUGUGAGCCAAGCAGAGGAGGAGAAAUGGGUGGGUCACCUUGUAUAAUAACUGUAUUAUUGCUCAUGGUUGUCUUUCUGCAGACUGCUUCCUGGAAAGUAUUAGCAGCAGUGAUGCAGAAGAGAAUGCAGUUAGGGAACAACUCUCAGAUGGGAUUAACAGGGAGAGGGUUCCAGGACCACUUGGGUUACACUUAACUCUUUGGAGAUGAAGGAAGCCUCUCCACAUGACUGCUGCCCUCAGACACCAGAUGAGUACAUGGCGGAUAAUGAAGAUUCAGAGACAGUGAGCAAGAAUACUGAGAUGUCAGACAAUUCUCUAAUCAUCGCUUUGGAGAAUGGCAAAAAUGUCAUCAGUGAUGAUGAAAAAGACCAGGAGGAGCAAGUGUGAACGUGGGGCCUGAGUUGAAAAGGCUCUGAUCUGAAUCCCUGAAGACCUGGACCUGGACCCCAUCCCGGACCCCAGAAGCGGUGGAGCCCACACAGCACCAGGAGCCUCAUCUGGACCAGAUCAGGGGAGGCCUCACUGCUGCUCUCCUGAGGGCCUCGUGUAGCACAGCUUCAGUUGUUUUGUCGUGUAGAUUUAGUGUUAGUUUAAUCCACAGUUUUAUCUACAAGUUCUGUAUGUAUCUGUAUGUUCAAUGUUUAUAGGUAAGGUUUUUCAUUAAAUUUUUAAAA